CAAAAAAAAAAAAAAUGCUGUCAUGCAGAUUCUGUGUCUGUGGGUAAAUGCUUCUAGAAUGUGACAAACAUUUUUGUGUGUCAGGUAGUCAGCACAGAUCCGCAAAAGGAGGUUAAUCCUCUUUUUUCUAGACACACUGACUUUCAGACUGCAUGAACGGCAAGAUUUGUGCUACGUUGACAUGUACACAUGCAUGUGAGUUACCACACAUUUUUGUUGUGGCAUCAGUCUGCAUAUAGAGCAUGCUCUCACAGGAAGUCGCAGCCCAAACAUUCAAAGGAAAUGAGUAGGACUGACAAAUCUGACCAGGCCUUUCAUGUGGUAAGUCCAAAGGUCACAACAAAAAUAGACAUCUAUUUUGUGGUUUGGGGGUUCCUUCAUUAAAAUAUUUCUGUAUUACUAUAUUUCUAUCGUCCAAGCUUUUUCUAUAGUAUGCAAUUCUCCCAUGAUUCCAAAGUCAAAUUCUGGCUGGAUUUGUCAUGUCUUGAUUCUAAAUCUGCAAGUUUAAAACAAUAAAACAUUUUUCCAUUCUUUGGUGGCCUUGUGGUUUGG